rnacentral:rRNA from 1 species
AUUGAAACACCGGUCCUCGUGCGAUCACCGAAGUUAAGCAACGUUACGUCUGGUCAGUACCUACAAAGGUGACCGCUUAAGAAUACCAGGUAUUGUAU